UGGGGAAUAUUGCACAAUGGGCGCAAGCCUGAUGCAGCCAUGCUGCGUGUAUGAAGAAGGCCUUCGGGUUGUAAAGUACUUUCAGCGAGGAGGAAGGCGUUGUGGUUAAUAACCGCAGCGAUUGACGUUACUCGCAGAAGAAGCACCGGCUAACUCCGUGCCAGCAGCCGCGGUAAUACGGAGGGUGCAAGCGUUAAUCGGAAUUACUGGGCGUAAAGCGCACGCAGGCGGUCUGUCAAGUCGGAUGUGAAAUCCCCGGGCUCAACCUGGGAACUGCAUCCGAAACUGGCAGGCUAGAGUCUUGUAGAGGGGGGUAGAAUUCCAGGUGUAGCGGUGAAAUGCGUAGAGAUCUGGAGGAAUACCGGUGGCGAAGGCGGCCCCCUGGACAAAGACUGACGCUCAGGUGCGAAAGCGUGGGGAGCAAACA
rnacentral:rRNA from 1 species